rnacentral:rRNA from 1 species
AGAGUUUGAUCCUGGCUCAGGAUGAACGCUAGCUACAGGCUUAACACAUGCAAGUCGAGGGGAAACGACAUCGAAAGCUUGCUUUUGAUGGGCGUCGACCGGCGCACGGGUGAGUAACGCGUAUCCAACCUGCCCACCACUUGGGGAUAACCUUGCGAAAGUAAGACUAAUACCCAAUGACGUCUCUAGAAGACAUCUGAAGGAGAUUAAAGAUUUAUCGGUGAUGGAUGGGGAUGCGUCUGAUUAGCUUGUUGGCGGGGUAACGCCACCAAGGCGACGAUCAGUAGGGGUUCUGGAGAGGAACGGUCCCCCANAUUGGAACUGAGACACGGUCCAAACUCCGUACGGGAGGCA